rnacentral:rRNA from 1 species
AUGCCUGUUUGAGUAUCAUGAACACCUCAACUCUCAUGGCUUGCCAUGAUGAGCUUGGACUUUGGAGGUCUUGCUGGCCUAUGGGUCAGCUCCUCUCAAACGAAUUAGCUUGCCGGUGUUUGGUGGCAUCACAUGUGUGAUAACUAUCUACGCUUGUGGUUUUCCACCAGGUAACCCCCAGCAAUGGAGGUUCACUGGAGCUCAUAAACGUCUCUCCUCAGUGGGGACAGAUUUUGACCAUUUGAUCUCAAAUCAGGUAGGACUACCCGCUGAACUUAAGCAUAUCAAUAAGCGGAGGAAAUCACUAGUGAAU